UGGUGUGUCUCUCGGUGAGAGGGCGGUUCGAGUCCGCAGCGCGAGUUCUCGCGUUAUGGUCCCCGGCAGGUUCAAUUCCUGCGCACACCAACCA
rnacentral:tRNA from 2 species